GCUGGGCUAGCAAAGUGGUUAAUGUGGCAGAUUUAGGAUUUGUAAUCAAAGGUUCGAUUCCUUUUCUCAGUU
rnacentral:tRNA from 1 species